rnacentral:rRNA from 1 species
CGAGCGGACAGAUGGGAGCUUGCUCCCUGAUGUUAGCGGCGGACGGGUGAGUAACACGUGGGUAACCUGCCUGUAAGACUGGGAUAACUCCGGGAAACCGGGGCUAAUACCGGAUGCUUGUUUGAACCGCAUGGUUCAAACAUAAAAGGUGGCUUCGGCUACCACUUACAGAUGGACCCGCGGCGCAUUAGCUAGUUGGUGAGGUAAUGGCUCACCAAGGCGACGAUGCGUAGCCGACCUGAGAGGGUGAUCGGCCACACUGGGACUGAGACACGGCCCAGACUCCUACGGGAGGCAGCAGUAGGGAAUCUUCCGCAAUGGACGAAAGUCUGACGGAGCAACGCCGCGUGAGUGAUGAAGGUUUUCGGAUCGUAAAGCUCUGUUGUUAGGGAAGAACAAGUACCGUUCGAAUAGGGCGGUACCUUGACGGUACCUAACCAGAAAGCCACGGCUAACUACGUGCCAGCAGCCGCGGUAAUACGUAGGUGGCAAGCGUUGUCC